rnacentral:rRNA from 1 species
UGCGUAGGCGGACUAAUAAGUCAGUGGUGAAAUCUCUCGGCUCAACCGGGAAACUGCCAUUGAUUCUGUUAGUCUUGAGUUCGGUUGAGGUAGGCGGAAUGUGUAAUGUAGCGGUGAAAUGCUUAGAUAUUACACAGAACACCAAUUGCGUAGGCAGCUUACUAGACCGACACUGACGCUGAGGCACGAAAGCGUGGGUAGCGAACAGGAUUAGAUACCCUGGUAGUCC